rnacentral:rRNA from 1 species
AUUGAACGCUGGCGGCAUGCUUUACACAUGCAAGUCGAGCGGCAGCGCGGGGCAACCCUGGCGGCGAGCGGCGGACGGGUGAGUAGAGCAUCGGAACGUAUCCCGUAGUGGGGGACAACCCAGCGAAAGCUGGGCUAAUACCGCAUAUGCUCUACGGAGGAAAGUGGGGGACUCGCAAGGGCCUCACGCUAUGGGAGCGGCCGAUGUCCGAUUAGGUAGUUGGUGGGGUAAAGGCCCACCAAGCCGACGAUCGGUAGCUGGUCUGAGAGGAUGAGCAGCCACACUGGGGCUGAGACGCGGCCCAGACUCCUACGGGAGGAGGCAGUGGGGAAUUUUGGACAAUGGGGGCAACCAUGAUCCAGCCAUGCCGCGUGCGGGAAGAAGGCCUUCCGGUUGUAAACCGCUUUUGUCCGGGAAGAAAAGGCCUCGGCUAAUACUCGAGGUUCUUGACGGUACUGGAAGAAAAGCACCGGCUAACUACGUGCCAGCAGCCGCCGCAGUAA